GAUGAACGCUGGCGGCGUGCUUAACACAUGCAAGUCGAACGAAGCACAUAAGACGGAAUCCUUCGGGAGGAAGAUUUAUGUGACUGAGUGGCGGACGGGUGAGUAACGCGUGGGUAACCUACCUUGUACAGGGGGACAACAGUUGGAAACGACUGCUAAUACCGCAUAAGCGCACGGUACCGCAUGGUACAGUGUGAAAAGUAUUUUCGGUACAAGAUGGACCCGCGUCUGAUUAGCUAGUUGGUGAGGUAACGGCUCACCAAGGCGACGAUCAGUAGCCGACCUGAGAGGGUGACCGGCCACAUUGGGACUGAGACACGGCCCAAACUCC
rnacentral:rRNA from 1 species